rnacentral:rRNA from 1 species
UGGGGAAUUUUGGACAAUGGGGGAAACCCUGAUCCAGCCAUCCCGCGUGUGCGAUGAAGGCCUCCGGGUUGUAAAGCACUUUUGGCAGGAAAGAAACGUCAUGGGUUAAUACCCCGUGCAACUGACGGUACCUGCAGAAUAAGCACCGGCUAACUACGUGCCAGCAGCCGCGGUAAUACGUAGGGUGCAAGCGUUAAUCGGAAUUACUGGGCGUAAAGCGUGCGCAGGCGGUUCGGAAAGAAAGAUGUGAAAUCCCAGAGCUCAACUUUGGAACUGCAUUUUUAACUACCGGGCUAGAGUGUGUCAGAGGGAGGUGGAAUUCCGCGUGUAGGAGUGAAAUGCGUAGAUAUGCGGAGGAACACCGAUGGCGAAGGCAGCCACCUGGGAUAACACUGACGCUCAUGCACGAAAGCGUGGGGAGCAAACAGG